rnacentral:rRNA from 1 species
GUAGCCUACGGGACGCAGCAGUGGGGAAUAUUGCACAAUGGGGGAAACCCUGAUACAGCGACGCCGCGUGAGUGAAGAAGUAUUUCGGUAUGUAAAGCCCUAUCAGCAGGGAAGAAGAAAUGACGGUACCUGAGUAAGAAGCACCGGCUAAAUACGUGCCAGCAGCCGCGGUAAUACGUAUGGUGCAAGCGUUAUCCGGAUUUACUGGGUGUAAAGGGAGCGCAGGCGGCACGGCAAGCCUGAUGUGAAAUCCGGGGCCUCAACCCCUGAACUGCAUUUGAAACUGUCGUUCUUGAGUACUGGAG